rnacentral:rRNA from 1 species
AUUGAACGCUGGCGGCAGGCCCAACACAUGCAAGUCGAACGGUAACAGGAAACAGCUUGCUGUUUCGCUGACGAGUGGCGGACGGGUGAGUAAUGUCUGGGAAACUGCCUGAUGGAGGGGGAUAACUACUGGAAACGGUAGCUAAUACCGCAUAACGUCGCAAGACCAAAGAGGGGGACCCUCGGGCCUCUUGCCAUCGGAUGUGCCCAGAUGGGAUUAGCUUGUUGGUGGGGUAACGGCUCACCAAGGCGACGAUCCCUAGCUGGUCUGAGAGGAUGACCAGCCACACUGGAACUGAGACACGGUCCAGACUCCUACGGGAGGCAGCAGUGGGGAAUAUUGCACAAUGGGCGCAAGCCUGAUGCAGCCAUGCCGCGUGUAUGAAGAAGGCCUUCGGGUUGUAAAGUACUUUCAGCGGGGAGGAAGGGAGUAAAGUUAAUACCUUUGCUCAUUGACGUUACCCGCAGAAGAAGCACCGGCUAACUCCGUG